rnacentral:lncRNA from 1 species
AUAUACGAGGGCCCUCAUGGGGUUUUUGAUUAUGUGAUUACUUGGCCGUUUUUUUAAUGAUUAUUUGAUUAUUAAGCCAAAUAUUUCAUGAUUAUUUGAUUACCUAGGACUGUAUUUUUAGUUUAUGAUUAUUUGAUUACUAAAGAUAAGCAAAUAUUUAAUGAUUAUGUGAUUAUAUUGGCAAAAAAAUGGUGAUUAUGUGAUUACUAGGACCCCCCCAUGAGGGGCCUCAUAUAC